rnacentral:lncRNA from 1 species
GCCAAGACUGAUACUUUGGACCGAGAGAAAGCAGAACUUCACCUUACUGCCCUUGACCCAGCUUGCUUUGAGAGAAUGAAACCCAGAGCACCUCAGACACAUUUACAGAGGACCUCGAGACACAUUUACCUCGCCCUGCUGUUUCCCCAAACCCAGAUCAAAGAUACAAAAGCGGGAUGCUGCUGCUUCAUCAGAGCUCUCCCAACCACCAGGCAGCGUUUCACCAAAAGAAGUUCAAUGCUCUGCUGUGUUAUUAGGAAGAAAAUACACAGUACAGUGGAAGAUGGUUCCAUUUGUAUUUCUCCAGAAGCCAUACCAGUCAUUUUUGAACAUCCUACUGUUUUUACAACGCAAAAUUCUACUUACAGGCUUCCAAAGAAGCUGAACAGAGGAUAUUCUCUUGCAGAAAAACAGCUUCUGCCCAGCACAACAGAUCUCUCCAGCUGCAAAAGUUCUUAA